CCUACGGGGGGCAGCAGUAGGGAAUAUUGCUCAAUGGGGGAAACCCUGAAGCAGCAACGCCGCGUGGAGGAUGAAGGUUUUCGGAAUGUAAACUCCUUUUGUUAGAGAAGAAAAUGACGGUAUCUAACGAAUAAGCACCGGCUAACUCCGUGCCAGCAGCCGCGGUAAUACGGAGGGUGCAAGCGUUACGCGGAAUCACUGGGCGUAAAGGGCGCGUAGGCGGGAUAGCAAGUCAGAUGUGAAAUCCUAUGGCUUAACCAUAGAACUGCAUUUGAAACUGUCAUUCUAGAGUAUGGGAGAGGUAGGCGGAAUGCUUGGUGUAGCGGUGAAAUCCGUAGAUAUCAAGAGGAAUACUCAUUGCGAAGGCGACCUGCUAGAACAUAACUGACGCUGAGGCGCGAAAGCGUGGGGAGCAAACAGGAUUAGAUACCCGAGUAGUC
rnacentral:rRNA from 1 species